rnacentral:lncRNA from 1 species
UUCCAUUUGGCUGUAUGAGAACUGCCAAACAGAGCGACCUGAUGAUGGCUGUAAGCUGGGGAAGCUGUUCCUCAGGAGUGGUGGUGCCUUAUUGCCCCGUUCUUAGUCUCAGCAAGGAGUUAGGUAUCUCUUCUUACCGGGCUGCUCAUUAGCAGGUCUGUGUGCCUUACAGAAGGAAUUGGUAUCACACUGUCAUUUUGCUGCAGAGGGAGAAACUGAGGCAUAAUGGAGCAGAAAAAAACAUUGUGGUUGGUGCGUAGCAGUAAUAGUAGUGCCAGGCUGGAGAUUAAGCCAGCUCUGCUGAGAUUUUAUCCAAUACUUUCCAGUGGGUCAUAAAUGCAUAAAGUAAUCAGGCAAGGACUUUGUCAGAGCACAUCUGCUCCAGUGUUUCUGGUAAAAGUACAUCCGUUAUCCCAAUUAAAUCAUAUGGUCCGGCACUGAUGAUGUGUGAAGGUAAAGCCAUCAGUGGCCUGGCUGUGUCUUUCAGACAGACCAAGAAGAAUGUUGGGCAAGCUAAAUCCAUUUAAUUUCUGGUGCUGCCAAUGCUGGAUAUGGGUGUACGUGGAAGUGGAGCCUCAGGGAUUUCACUGGGGGCUCCAUGUGGACAAAAUGAUCUCUUUCACUCAAGGAAGCUUAUAAUAUCAAAACCACUGUAAGAAAAUGGUCUCUGUACAAAGCUUACCGAGAUGAAGGUUUUCCAAUGGCAUGUCAGUUAAAAUUCCCAAGAAGUGGUUUACCUGAGAUUAAUAAUGCAUUUGGAGGAGGUCUGUGAGAUAGCCUGCUGCUCCUGUCAAGUCUCCUGCCAGUCUCAGAAGGGAGGAGGUAAGUUGUAUUUUCCUCUUGCUGUUCUGCUUGCAUAAAAGUGACCUGGGAAAAUAAGAGUAAAAUAGUUCCUUCAAGCAGAUGAGGCAAGGAGAAAUUGGUUGACUGGGUCUAACUGCAAAAAGGAAAUGCAAACCCCUCAAUUCACCCUCAUGCUAAGGUGUUGUGGUUUUUUUUUGAAGAAUAAAAGGAGGUAGCAGAAUUCAUGCAAGGCUUUAUACGUUUGUUUUCUAUAACAGUGCUUUGUUUCCUUUUGGUCCUUCAAGUCCUUUUUCAGUACUGGAAAUAAGCAACCACAUAGAGCAGGAUUUUUCCCUGCUGCUGUGCAUGUGUAUGAACAGCUUCCAAAGGAGGCUUUUGUGGGGCAUCAGAUGGGUUUACCUUGGGCUCAAUGAGUCCUUCAGUUAGGUUUUAAUAUAUUAUUUUCCCUGUCAUUUCUGCUUAGAUAGUGACAUUGAAUGCUCUGAUGAUAUCAACCAACUAUGUGUUCCUUCACUGUCAAGUAUUUGGGAUGGAAAUUUAGCAGGCAGUUAGAUUAAAAUAAAAAUAUCCUGCUGGCAAGGAAAUAAAUUGAAUUAAGUCGGUGCUGCUCUGAAUGUUGGUAACUGUGGAUGAGUUUUCAUGGUUCAUUCUGAAGAGCUACCGAGGCACCCAACAGCUCAUAUAUUAAGGCUAAAUUACUGUUGUUAAAUUUAUUUCCCAAUUCUCUUUGGUAUUUAAAAAAUGCAUUAUCCCCACAUUGCAAAACUUGAAGAAGCUCUUUAUCCAUACCUCGGAACACAAGAAAUGGAAAAGCAGCAUCUAAAGCAAGAGAAGAUUGUCACAUGAACAACUGCACGUAAACCGGCGGUGAAUAAAAGAUGUUCCGUGCCAUCAGGGAGAGGGAAAUCUCCUCUUAGAGCUUCACAAGGGAAGUGUAGGGACCAAAGCCCUCGGGCUUUCUGUGGGGCUGAAUCAGAUCAUGAAAGAAGCUAUAAGUAGGUGAGCAGUCCCAAGGGGUGGCACUAAGCCACGUAGGAAGUCUCUUCUGUGCGGUAGUCUUUGAGGAACAGUCUCAGAGAUUGUUAAAUAUUGAAGGAAAUAUGAACUUCAAAAAGUGGGUUUUAAUUUAAAUAUCAUAAUAGUUGUCGUGUGUAAGAAGUAGAAAGCAUUGAGUUCAACUGUGCCGAAGGGAGGGCGAUGCCUGGCUACAACUCAUACUGAGCUCUGCCCCUUUCUGGGAGCUCGUAGGGCAGCCCAGAUCUUUCUUAGGGUAUGCCUUCUAUUGGAACACGAGUUCUUAGGGUGUGACUUUUCAAGCUGAGAUGUCUGCACAUGAAAGAAUUUGAGCUUUCAAAGAACUCCGGGCCUUUGCUUACCUCCUCUUGAAUUGUAGGGAUCUGAACUACUCGGAAAAGACGAAUUUACGCCGCUUUUCCAAAGGUGGGAUCUGGUUCCUUUGUUUGUACUGAAAGAUUGAUCAGAGCAGGUAAACAGACAUUUGGUGCGUAGCUGAUUAUGAGCUAUGGAAAAAUGGACAUCUUUUUUAGUUGUUCCUAAAAGAUCAGGCUUAGGAUUCAAAGCCGUAACGCAUUUAUUGUGGUAACGCAAACUGAAGUCAUGUGAAUCGAGAACCAUAAGGGUUCCAUUAGCACACAUGGAAAGUCGAGUUGGGUCUGUAAUAGCACUGACAGUAAGUCCCAUUCAGGAGCAUUACUUCUUAAAAAUUAAACAAACCUCUCAAGUGGCUUAACGUGUAGCUGACAGUGCCAGCACGCUUCAAUUUCCAUUCAACCUGAAGUUGCCACACUCUCCAUUCUAAAUGGAAAUAGUGUUCUGCUGAUGUCACUGGCAAGCCUCCUUUUCUCCCAGCAAAAAUGUUUGUGUUACAGUGACUUCUUGAUCCCUGAGAAUACGUUUGUCUUGGUGAUCUGCUUCAGAUGCAAAUUGCUAUACCAGUCAGCUUGUGGGAAGAUAAAACCUUUCUUUAUUUUUAGUUCUGUCCAUUUAAAUCCAACGUGCAGUGCUAGAUGUUGGAAUCAGCGUGGAUUCUUUCUGCUCGGAAGCCUCUGGGAAGAGAUGUCUCACCCCAGUGCUCAAAGGCUGCUUCUAAUUCUGUUGUUUUUUUAAUGUUUUCUUUAAGUGAUACCUAUGGAACGUGUUAGCCACCAAUUUGGGAAAUCUCCCUUGUAUCUCAGUCUUCUGUUUCUCUUGUUUCCUCCCCUGGCCUCAAAGCAGCAGCACAGCUGUGCCAGGAUACCCAGGACUGCUUUUCUGCGCCUCGUCCUUUCAGCCCCAUUGGAUGCUCAGCAGGAGCCGCUCAGUUCACACACGCAGUGCGUUCUGCCUUCCAAGAGCUUUCCAUCAGGCGAGAGGCUCUCUUCUUUUUGCCUGUUUCAAAUGUACCGUUCUACGUGUCCUACAAGAAGUCUUCACGCACCUCUCCAGGUAUUCAGGGAGAAGAAGUCCAUUUUUCUGUUGCCAUCAGACUCAGUGCUUCGUGCAGUGGUCCAUGAUGGGACCACUCAGGAAAAUACUCUUAGCUGUGGUUUCCAGCACAAGAAAUGUUGCAAAUCUGAGCUUAAAAAAAUCAAGUUUGGCUGCUGCACAACACUUUCUCAGUUGAUUCCUUAUUAUUUAACACUUCUCUGAAGUUCAAGUCUUUUUUUUUUUUUUUUUUUGUCUCCCCCCUUCAAUACAGCCUUCAUCCAAAAGACACUGCCAAAUGCUUUACAAGUAGUACAGAGAAAGAGAAAUUGUUUCUGGCACCUAUUGCAGUAGUCAGCAUUGAGCAUCCCGCUUACCCAGCUCACAAAGCACAGAGCCUUAUUUUGUUAGGAUGUACAAAUGCUUCUGCUAUCAAACAAGCAAAAGGACAGCCAGCCCACCUAACCUGCUACCAGCUAGCCACCAAGGUGAGCUUACUGAGCCACUGAGCUUGUAGUUGUAUCAAUGGACACCAUUUGGUCAUUUAUAUUUCUUGCGAAAGAUGGUGGUCCCAUGGUGUGAGCUUUGAUAGCGUGGUAUCAGAAUGUUGUCCCAGUUAUGCCUACCGAUCAGUAAUUCAGAAGGCUCUGCACUAGUGAAGUGCUGGGAGGAGAGGUGCCUUCUGUUUUCUGCUCCAUACUUCCACUCUCUUCCCUCUCUUUUUUUUUUCCAAGGUUGGCUUGGUAUUAUGUCAUUUCAGAUGGACAAGAUUAAGUGAAAUCCUGCUUUGGGUUUCUGAUGCUCUCCCCUCUGUUUUGUGUUAACACUGAGAAUUUGUUUCUGUGUUGUUUGUGGCUGAGGCCUUUUUCCCCACCCCCUGCCUGAGAUGGCUCAAGAAAUGCUGAACAGAGUGCUUAAUGAUUUCCAGUGUUUUCUCUUGACAUUUUAGUUUAGGAGAAUGAGCAAUGCCUCCACUGGGGACUUCCCUGGCAGAUCCACGUCUGAACAGCCAGGGCUGGCUUCCAAGAACAUUAAAUUCCAGCUGCUUUUCCAUCCAAGGCAAGAGAGGACCAGGGAGAGAGAUUCCAGUGUGAACUACCUGCAGGUGUGCAGCAGGGUGCCGCAGUCCAUGCGGACCAGCUAUGCUGGCUGAUCCCCACACGUGGCACCAAGGCUGUUCCUUUCCCAUUGAUAGGUUAUGCAUAUUUGGUGCCUGGCUUAACGCUGCAAGGGACAUAAUUUUCAGUGGUAUAAUGGACCGCUUGAGCCUCUCUUGUCAACUGGGAGUUUGAGUAUGCAGCGCGUUUGGAAAUGCAGCCCAUCCUUACCCAGCAACUAGCAAGGGAGAAAUCCAGACCUGCCAGUCGCUAUUUCAGCCUGUGACUUCUGCUCGCCUUUGUCCCAUCCGAGCGCGGUAAGGCAGAGCUUGUGUGCUCUUCUGGAGUUGGCUCCGCGUCUGCAGCUGCACGUUGAAAGGUACCGCAGUGUUUUCAGAAACCCAAAAGGUAGCCAGUCUCCAGCUGGUAAAAUUGUCAUCGUUCAUCAACUGAUUGAACUGUGGAAAUUUACCCAAGUAGAGGAUCAGGUCCAGUGUACACAGCUGGGAACCGAGCUGAGCUCAGUAGCUAUCUGUGCUCAGUGCUAAGCACCGGCCAACUGGGUUGCGCACGACUUUCUGCUAGGUAGCAGUGUGUCGAUCAAUGUCCUCUUGUUCGCUUGGAUCCAUGUUGUCUCCCAUUGCUCUGUCCCUUCUCUGUUCUCCUUUUCCUUCUAACUAAGCAACGUCUUACGGGCAGCGAGAGGGCGAGCCACAAUAGAUGAAAACAGAUCUGUUUUUGUGAUGUUUCUGGGGAAAACGUUCCUGCCCUUACACUUGAACUUCUCUAAGAGUGGUUAUAUUUCAUUACGCAUCUUAUCCUUGUUUGUGAAACAAGCAUGAGCUGUGCUUGCUAUGAGUUCAGUAGAGAAAAGAAAUGGAUAUUUGGGGAAGAUUGUUCCUCACUUGACAGCAUUAUUGUAAGCAAGGAAAUUUAAAGGAGGUUUUGCUUAGGCCCUCUAUUUUUCUCUGACUUUGUGUUCGUAUUUUUUUCCUGAAGUUUGUCUCAAGGUCUGCAUGAAGACCCAAACCUCUAAAAUGCUUUAAAGUCGAUCUCUCUCUGCCCGCGUGUAUUCAGCUAGCGUGGUAAAAUGUUUUGUUUCUCUUUUUUCUUUCCAGAGUCUAUGAGAUCAUUCAAGUACGGAGACUUGGCAGCCUCCAUGUACGUACAAAGACGGCUGUUUGAAUUUCAGACUAAGUGUCGUUCUGGCUAAGGAUGAAUUAUUUGGUGUGUUACAUGAGGAUUUGCUGCUUUAUCUGGCCUGAAUAAGAGCUCCACCAGUGCAGACCUCCCUCACGAAAGCCACGGUGAUGUCACGUCCAGCAGCACAGGAGGGGAUCAGAGCGUGCUCCUACCCAUUCAGCACAGCCCCGAGAUUACUUUUAACCAAGGUCACUUCUGCAGUUCACUUGACAACAGCCUGGGCAGCGGCACACUACUGGCACAGCCUGCGGACUGCUAUAGGGAUGGGAGGACAAACAGUGACAAUUGUCUCCCGGAUUUACUGCGUCGAAGCUGUGCCGCGGCCACCUUCUGAUCAGAAGUGGGUAGAUAAAUCUGCUCCGUGUUCUGCAGUGACUGCCUGCUGCCCUGAAGGAAGCGUGUCAUGUCUGCAAGGAAGCGUUUCAACCUGCAGCCGUGGAGUACGAACAGCAUCAAUCACUCCUUUCCAACAAAGGUUGGGUUGUGCUGAGCCCUAAUCUUUUAAAUAAGACCUACUGUAACAUGCACAGAAUGUUUCCCAUGUUGGAUUCUACCUUACAAGCACUGAUUACGCCCACUGAUGCUUCAUGAGACAACCAAGCCAGAUUUGUGCCUCGAUUUGAAAAUACUCUGACACAAUAAAAGAAGACUUCUUAAUCUUUCAUUCCUUUGCUGCAAAGCUGGAAAGCACGGAAAAAAAC